rnacentral:lncRNA from 1 species
UCCACUUCUUCAAGGAAGGGUCUUCCAGCUGAGCGCUUCCCUGUUUCUGUCCCUAUCUCCUUCUCUCUCCCAGAAAGUUUCUUGCCUUCUCUUGACUUACAGAAGACAUCACUUCCUUGAAGACUUGGCUCACUAUAAGCCUCCUGGCGGCUCCUUCCUGGGGCACUGGGCCAAACUCCUGACACGAUUAAGAAGAGGUUUUGGAACUGGGCCAGACUAGGAAAACAGGAAAGAUGACGAACAAAGCUUCCCUCCUUCUGAGGGUUGUUUAUUCCAGUGUUCCUUCAGUUGAGUUUUCUGGGUACACAGCAGCCCUUGGCUUUCCAUCCCAUGUGCAGCCUCUGGCCCAGCACUUAGUCCACUCUCAGUCAUAGAGCUUAUCACACAGACUUGCUCCAGUGCCCACUUGUCCAACUGCCCCAAACUCCUGGAAACCAGAAAGAACACAGAUGUAUCUCAACUGAGUGCCUACCAUAUUUCUACAGGAGGAACUGUCUUCGCAUAAAAGCCCCUCUGCAGCUCCUUAAGAUCCUACUGAUGCUUCAAUUGCCUCAUCUUUGGUCAACAAGAGCCUCUUCAAGACAUUGGCUUCUGAGCCCUUUUGACAUGACACUAUAGCUUUAUUGCUUUCUGGAAUGAAAAAGUCUUCUUGGUUCAUCUUGUAUAUUUUUUGCUCCAGACCUUGAAUCAGCUAUUUCUCCUAGGAGCCCUGGUUCUUUUGUGGGAAAUGAAUCAUCUUGUCAAGUUCUGCAAAAAGACAACUGAGACUUUGAUAGAAAUUACAUUGAUUCCAGAGAUCAAUAUGAGGAGUAUUGUCAUCUUAACAAUAUUACUUCUUAUAAUACAUGAAUGUCAGGCUCAAAGUUCUGACAAUAAGCCUGAUUGGCUCAGGUGGGGUCAUGUGACCAGGACAGGUGGGACAUCUUGAAUGACAGUCCCGGAAAUAUUGCACAAAAAGAGGACGAUUUCCCAAGAAAUUAUGGACUAUAUAGAAAAGUAUGAAGAAGAGAAUACACAUUACCUGCAAAUCUGCCACCCAGAGAACAUGGCUACUAACAUUUGGAAAACAUCUCUCCUAUCCCAUAAA